rfam:Trametes versicolor FP-101664 SS1 unplaced genomic scaffold TRAVEscaffold_6, whole genome shotgun sequence.
GGCCUGGUGGUCUAGUAGUAUGAUUCCUUCUUAGGGCGAUUCGCAAUCUGGAGGAGGUCCCGGGUUCAAUUCCCGGCCAGGCCC